UGAUAAUGUACAUCUUGUCAGAGAUAUAAAUAAUAAAAAAGUGAUCGUAUAGGAGAAAACGGCUCAAGCUUCCAAUGGCAGAGGAAAUAGUUGGAUGUGAUCAAAG